rnacentral:rRNA from 1 species
UACGGAGGAUGCGAGCGUUAUCCGGAUUUAUUGGGUUUAAAGGGUGCGUAGGCGGUCCGUUAAGUCAGCGGUAAAAUUGCGGGGCUCAACCCCGUCGAGCCGUUGAAACUGGCAGACUUGAGUUGGCGAGAAGUACGCGGAAUGCGCGGUGUAGCGGUGAAAUGCAUAGAUAUCGCGCAGAACUCCGAUUGCGAGGGCAGCGUACCGGCGCCAGACUGACGCUGAGGCACGAAAGCGUGGGGAUCGAACAGG